AUGCACGUUCCUCUCCCGCGGCCAUGUUAACCAGGAAACCUUCGGCCGCCGCUCCUGCCGCCUACCCGACCGGCCGAGGAGGGGACACCGCCGUUCGCCAGCUUCAGGCUUCCCCGGGGAUCGGCGCCGGGGCUCCCCGAAGCGGAGUGGGGACCGGCCCGCCCUCUCCCAUCGCCCUGCCGCCUCUCCGGGCCAGCAACGCUGCCACCGCAGCCCACACGAUUGGCGGCGGGAGGCACACCAUGAAUGACCACCUCCACAUCAGCAGCCACAGCCACGGGCAGAUCCAGGUUCAGCAGCUGUUUGAGGAUAACAGUAACAAAAGGACAGUGCUUACAACACAGCCAAAUGGGCUUACGACAGUGGGCAAGACAGGCUUGCCUGUGGUGCCAGAGCGGCAGCUGGACGGCAUUCACAGACGGCAGGGGAGUUCCACCUCUCUGAAGUCCAUGGAAAGCAUGGGGAAGGUGAAAGCCACCCCCAUGACGCCGGAACAAGCGAUGAAGCAAUACAUGCAAAAACUCACGGCCUUUGAACACCAUGAGAUCUUUAGCUACCCUGAAAUAUAUUUCUUGGGUCCAAAUGCUAAGAAGCGCCAAGGCAUGACAGGUGGACCCAACAACGGUGGUUAUGAUGAUGACCAGGGAUCAUAUGUGCAGGUGCCCCAUGAUCAUGUGGCUUACAGGUAUGAGGUCCUCAAGGUCAUUGGGAAGGGGAGCUUUGGGCAGGUGGUCAAGGCCUAUGACCACAAAGUCCACCAGCAUGUGGCCCUGAAGAUGGUGCGCAACGAGAAGCGCUUCCACCGGCAGGCGGCGGAGGAGAUCCGCAUCCUGGAGCACCUACGGAAACAGGAUAAGGACAACACCAUGAACGUCAUCCACAUGCUGGAGAAUUUUACUUUCCGCAACCACAUAUGCAUGACGUUUGAGUUGCUGAGCAUGAACCUCUACGAGCUCAUUAAGAAGAAUAAGUUCCAGGGCUUCAGCCUGCCUCUGGUGCGCAAGUUUGCUCACUCGAUUCUGCAAUGCUUGGAUGCGCUGCACAAAAACAGAAUAAUCCACUGUGACCUUAAGCCCGAGAACAUUUUGUUAAAGCAGCAGGGUAGAAGCAGUAUUAAGGUGAUUGACUUCGGCUCCAGUUGUUAUGAGCACCAGCGUGUUUACACGUACAUCCAGUCGCGCUUUUACCGGGCUCCGGAAGUGAUCCUUGGAGCCAGGUAUGGCAUGCCCAUUGAUAUGUGGAGCCUGGGUUGCAUCCUUGCGGAACUCCUGACGGGUUACCCCCUAUUGCCUGGGGAGGAUGAAGGGGACCAGCUAGCUUGUAUGAUUGAACUUUUGGGCAUGCCCUCCCAGAAACUCCUGGAUGCUUCCAAACGAGCCAAGAAUUUCGUGAGCUCCAAGGGUUACCCCCGCUACUGCACUGUCACGACUCUUUCAGAUGGCUCCGUGGUCCUCAAUGGAGGCCGAUCCCGGAGAGGGAAACUGAGGGGUCCGCCAGAGAGCAGAGAGUGGGGGAACGCACUGAAGGGAUGCGAUGAUCCUCUUUUCCUUGACUUCUUAAAACAGUGUUUGGAGUGGGAUCCCGCAGUCCGCAUGACCCCGGGCCAGGCUCUGCGGCACCCCUGGCUCAGGAGGCGUUUGCCAAAGCCUCCGACCGGGGAGAAGACGGCGGUGAAGAGGGUCACGGACAGCACUGGUGCUAUCACGUCGAUUUCCAAGUUACCUCCACCUUCCAGCUCAGCUUCCAAGCUGAGGACUAAUUUGGCACAGAUGACAGAUGCCAAUGGGAAUAUUCAGCAGAGGACAGUGUUGCCAAAACUCGUUAGCUGAGCUCCAGUCCCCUAAUGCUGGCAAGCUGAAAAAUGCGUUAUAGCUGAGCCUUAUUGGGUUGAAAAGUGUAGCUCAGACCUGUUUUUAUUUGCUCAAAAAACUCGACUCAUUUGUAUCUUUUCAGCACUUGAUGUAAGACAGUUUGUUUUGUUUUUAUAAAAUACAUGGGGACAAUGCUUUAAGUUUUUAUACUUUCUCAAACUGUUUCUUCCCCCUUCCUUGUGUUCUAAAAGUAAGAUGAGCCUUACUGUAUUUCGUGUGGCUGAGUGAUCAUCAUAUCAGUGGCAGGCCAUUGUUUUUUUUCAUGACUGCCACACAUUUACAGAUUGGUCAAACACAUUCACGAUGUUUUCAUGGUUCGUCCUCUAUGCUCCCCAGGGAGGUGGCCCCCAGGGACCCUCCUUCUCUCUUUGUGCUCCGGGUUCACACAGGAGCUGCACACCCUGCUUCCAAAUUCUGUAAAUUAACCUGGGUCAGAGCGGAAGUGGAAGAAGGGUCAGUGUGAAAAUCUCUAGGAAAAGCUGCACUUUAGAGAUUGUCUUUUUUUCUUAUGGUGUAUUCAGAUGAUUACAAACUAGAUUGCCCAGGUUUUAACUGCCCACGUAACAUUCUGACGUUCUGCAGCCACCAGGCAACGUUUAGUAGCUAAGUAGAAAUUGAGAUGUGUGAAUUCCUCCCAAGGCUCUGGGAAGAUGGCAAGCUGUCAUAAUCAGGAAGCCGCCUGAUUUUAGGACGUUUCCCCACUGUUCCGUUUCCCUUUCUCUUGUCUCUGCCCUCUUUUUGUCACACAUCUGUCCCUUGCAUGUAGUGCGUCCUUUUCCUCCAGCUGUCCAUCCCGGACUGGUAAUGCAGAGAGCCAUCUCAGCUGCUAUUAUGUCCAGAGUUUCAUGCCUCAGUUUCCAAAAGAACAUUGGCCUAGCUACCUAAGGGGGAUUUCCAUAGUUCCAAAGAAGGUUUAGCCGGCUGGACUGAGUUCACACUGUAGGCGUCGCUGAGGUUCCCUCAGCCUGGGAAAACAUCAACUCUCCUUAGAAAGCAAAAGGGUUGAAAAUCCUCUUGGCAAAGAGAAGUCACUGUGGCCAUUCAGUUGGGCCAGUUUUAACAACACAUUGAAGGGAGGAGAAAUUCAAUCUCGAGUUAAAUGGUUUGACUUAUUCUUUGAUUUGUUAGAAGAGCCAUGGAAACUGCAUCCCUCUGUUUACUUACUUUCUUUUUGGAUUGCACUGAAUGUUUUUGUGGGGAUGACACUUUACCUGAAAGAGUAACUGAGAGUUAGGUAAAAGAAUAUUUUCUUCUCUGAAUAAUAAUUAUUUUCACAGUGAAAAUUUCAGUAUUUUAUCACUAAAUGAUGAACAGUGAUAUAUAUCAAUUUCAAGGCACGUGAAAAGAAUUUUUUUAGUAUGUGCAAUUUAAUAGAGAAAGAUUUCUGCCUGUUUGGACAGUAGGUUUUGGAUAGUAAAAAUUAGGAUAAAUAAUCUUUUAUAUGCACAGAUAUUAUUGUAUUGCCUGUAAAUCGAUUUACAAGUACUUAAAGCAUGGUCCCCAGUGAGGCCAAGAAAGUUUCCGGUUAAGUUUUGUUUUUUGUUUGUUUGUUUUUUUAAUUCUAUGUUUUCUCUUAUUUAAAAAAAAUCAAAAUCAAAAACAAAAAACAAAACAAAACAAAAAACCAAAAAAAAAAAACAAAACAAAACCCACAAACAAACAGAAAGUCAUUUUGAAUAAAACAUUUUUCUUAUCUUGAGGCUUUGCCAGUUGAUGGUGGAAAACUAUGCUCAGGAAUUAUUUCAAGUAUUUGCCAAAAAUCAGUAAUAAGAUUAGCUAUUAAUAAGUUAGCGAUAUCGCUGUUUGCUUUACUCUUUAAGGAUGCCAUUGAUAGAUUAAUUUGUCCCUUCUGUACUUAGCAAUGAUAGCUUGUUUCCCUAGUUGGAUUCUUUAGCAUAUUCUACACAUUUCUGUGUAAUCUGUGAAGUGCAAUACUACGUCAGUAAGUUACAUUUUAGAUGAUGCUCAUGUGACAGGACCCCCAAUCAGUGGCUUAUAGGACUUAAAAUUUUGUGUAUUUAUUUUUAAAACAUUGGCUGAAAGGCAUGAGAAAUACAGGAUUUGGUCUGGGGACUUUUGGAAAACAAUGAGUCUCUUAGUGAUGGUCAGUGUCUUCAGGUCACUAAAAUAAAUUUAAAAUCUACAAAAGCUGCUCUCCCUUCCCAAGGCGCCUGUUUUGCUCCCACUCCCACCUAGUUUGAGCCUGAGCCUGCUGCUACCAACUCCCCGAUAACACAGCUAUACUUGCAGCAGUUUAGACGUGGAUUAAAAUUGCUUGUCUGUUUCCCCCACCACACAAAACUGGUUCUUCUGAUGCCAGCAGAACAUUUGUGAUGAGCUUUAUCCACAAAUGCAACCGGAAACUUCGAAGCCAAAAUAUGAUGUGCUAUGGGGCUUUUCCUUCCUUCCUUCCUUCCUUCCUUCCUUCCUUCCUUCCUUCCUUCCUUCCUUCCUUUCUUCCUUCCUUCCUUCCUUCCUUCUUUUCUCUCUUUUUUCUUCCCCCAACCACAUGAAAUUUCUUUUAUUCACGAAAGCUGCCAUGUUUCAACAUUUACUGAUACAGCUGCUUUGAGAAAAUCCUAUUUAAUUAUUGUGUCUAAAACGAAACUGUUGCCUCUUGGGGAUCUUAAAACCUAAAUAAAGGGCUCUGAUAGGCUUCUAGGAGUUGGCUUGGAAGCGGUCCUUGGGCUCACAGGUUACCAUUGUCUAGGGAGGUCUGAGCUGUUUUCAGGUUUAGGAAUAGCACAGUGUCGUCUUGUCUUUGGUUGCAGUCUCAUUUGGCUCCGUCUCUUGCACUACCAGAGUUCUUAGCACAACAGUGGAACACUGAGUGAUGCAAGGCAGUGUAGAUUAACAUCUUACAGGAGAAAUUGUGCCCUUAGUGUUAACGAUGUGCCUUUUGUUCUGAAUGCCAUGUUGUAGGGCAUGCAUCUUUUGGCCUCUUUAACUCUUUGAACUAGAGGUAGUAAUGAUGGAAGCCACCUCUGCAAAGAUAACAUCUGUCUUAAAUAUCUAGAUUUAUAGGCCUUAAUAGAAACCAUAAGGCGUGAAUCGUCCUUGGGCGCUGAGCAAGAUAACCAUCGGUUAGUUACAUCAGGAAUCCCUGUGUUUAAAGGGUUAAAGAUGGUCUUUGUUGUAUCUGAACAUCAGACUGAUUUUUUAAAUGAUAUUUUUUUUGUUAUGGUAACACUAGACAAAAAUCAACUGUAUUUGUAAAAAUUUACCUCAAACCAUUUAUUUUAUAGUGUGAUUAAUCCCAGGGCAUUUGGUAUGAACCAAAGUGCAUUCCUUUUUUUAUGUGCCUGGCUCUAGUGAGGAUGGCCAGGGAUUUUUACAAUUUGGGUGCAAGGCACUUAAGCCACUUUUAAACUUACUGGGUGGUGUGGAGUCAUGUCAAGUGGCCCCAUCAGAAUGUUAAAAAAAAUUUAGGCAUCGGUAGCAUUGGGCCAUAUUGGAAUCUUAAAAAACAUGAAUUAUUUUAAAGAGAACAUUCAUUUUUGUAAUUUUUUUCAUCAAGACUAUUUCUGGUAAGCAGAAGAUUUUUAAAUACAAACCAACUGAUUUGGCUGGUGAAGGUUUUAAUAUUGCCCAACACAAUGCUGUGGUAGCGCUUAGAAGCAAAAGUAUUUGUGGACUCUGUUUUUAGGGGCUGUGCAUCUCUGAUAUGGACACAUAUAAUUCAUUGUAAUUAUACCCAGCUCAACUGGUACAGUUAUGUCUAGGCCGUGGCUUGGGUUUUUAUCGAGCAACAACUUAGACAACGUGACUGUAAUCAUGCUGCAACUGUGUGUACUGAACAUAUGUGAAAAUGGUUGAAUGUGGACUGUGUAUAUAUGUAUGUACAAACUUCUGUGAGAUGCUGCUGUCGCCACUUGACAUGAAAAGUGUUCUAGUGGGUUGGAAUCCUAGUGGCCAGUUCUAUGAUACUGUAUGUAUUGUACAGCUGAUGACGGGGUAAGACUGUUUAGUGAAUAUUUGUUAAAUUUUAUUGUUGUGGCCAGAGAUAAUUUCAGAAUAAAAUUUUAAUGUCCUACCUUAA